rnacentral:rRNA from 1 species
AUGGCGGUGAUGCCGAUACCGAUGCCCAGCCCCUGGUUCCUCCUCCUGCUCCUCCUCCCCUGCUCCUCCACCUCCACCCCCGCCCCGGACGUCGACCUCGACUACAUCAUCAACAACACCGGCGGUGACGCCUCUGCCAGCAACAACCUCGAGGACGACUCCCCCGCCUACCCCGGCUACAACCAAGACCUCUUCGCCAACGACGACGACAGCCCCCAAAACCCCGUCGACGAGGCCCACGUGGUAGUCCUCACCGCCGCCAACUUCUCCUCCUUCCUCGCCGGGCGCCGCCACGUCAUGGUUAACUUCUACGUGCCCUGGUGCUACUGGUCCCGUAAGCUCGCACCGGAGUACGCCGCGGCGGCGUCGCACCUGGCCGACACGGGGCUCGACGUCGUGCUUGCCAAGGUCGACAUUGCCAAGGUCGAGAACAACCAACUCGCGCGCGCCCAUGACGUGCAUGGCUCCCCCAUCGUCCACUUCUUCAUCGACGGCGUCCCCAGGGGCUACCGCUACUACGGCGAGAGGACCAAGGACGCCAUUGUCGCUUGGAUCACCAAGAAGCUGGGCCCUGCCGUGCGAAACGUCACCACCGUCGACGAGGCCGAGAAGAUCAUCACUGGUCACGGCAUGGCCACACUCGCCUUCCUCGACUCCCUCUCGGGUGCUCACAGCGAUGAGCUUGCUGCUGCUUCAAAGCUGGAGGACAGCAUCAACGUUUACCAGACCACCAGCCCUGAUGUAGCCGAGCUUUUCGGCGUUGACCCGGAAGCAAAGCGCCCGUUCGUAGUCCUGCUGGAGGCAGAUCAGGAGGGGAAGCUGACCGUAUCCCGGUAUAAACGUCUCAGAUUGUCCGAUUUGUUUUUGAACCACAGCUUACUGUAA